CGCUCUGGUAGCCUUGUGGUUAGAGCGUCCGUCUCGAAUGCGGGAGAUCGCGGGUUUGAACCCCGGUCGAGUCA